rnacentral:rRNA from 1 species
UACGGGGGGGGGCAAGCGUUGUUCGGAAUUACUGGGCGUAAAGGGCUCGUAGGCGGCCAACUAAGUCAGACGUGAAAUCCCUCGGCUUAACCGGGGAACUGCGUCUGAUACUGGAUGGCUUGAGAUUGGGAGAGGGAUGCGGAAUUCCAGGUGUAGCGGUGAAAUGCGUAGAGAUCGGGAGGAAGGCCGGUGGCGAAGGCGGCGCUCUGGAACGUUUCUGACGCUGAGGCUCGAAAGCGUGGGGAGCAAACAGG